GAUGAAGAACGCAGCGAAAUGCGAUAAGUAAUGUGAAUUGCAGAAUUCAGUGAAUCAUCGAAUCUUUGAACGCACAUUGCGCCCCUUGGUAUUCCGAGGGGCAUGCCUGUUCGAGCGUCAUUAUAACCCCUCAAGCUCAGCUUGGUGUUGGGGCCUGCUGCACUGGCAGCACUUAAAAUCAGUGGCGGCGCCAUCUGGCUCUAAGCGUAGUAAUUCUUCUCGCUAUGGAGUCCUGGUGGAUGCUUGCCAUCAACCCCCAAUUUUUCUAUGGUUGACCUCGGAUCAGGUAGGGAUACCCGCUGAACUUAAGCAUAUAAUAAGCGGAGGA
rnacentral:misc_RNA from 1 species